UUCGGCGACCAUGGCGAAGGGGAAACACCCGGUUACAUUCCGAACCCGGAAGUUAAGCCCUUCAGCGCCGAUGGUACUGCACGGGAGACUGUGUGGGAGAGUAGGACGUCGCCGGAU
rnacentral:rRNA from 1 species